CAGCACCUCAAGUGGUCAGGAUGAUUAUUGGGCCUAAAGCAUCCGUAGCCGGCGCUGUAAGUUUUCGGUUAAAUCUGUACGCUCAACGUAUGGGCUGCCGGGAAUACUGCAAAGCUAGGGAGUGGGAGAGGUAGACGGUACUCGGUAGGAAGGGGUAAAAUCCUUUGAUCUAUUGAUGACCACCUGUGGCGAAGGCGGUCUACCAGAACACGUCCGACGGUGAGGGAUGAAAGCUGGGGGAGCAAUCCGGAUUAGAUACCCGAGUAGUCC
rnacentral:rRNA from 1 species